UUAAGAGUAAAUACUCCGAUAGCUUCCUCUCCCUCUGCUGCUUACAGGAACUGCAAAGACGGAGAAAAGCUCGACAAUUAGAAGGAUAUAAUCUUGAAACCCUAAUUCGCCAACCAUUGUGGGUUAUCGAGGAGCUAGUGAAUCCAAUAGCCGUGGCCGCGCAACGCCAUUUCUCUAAAUGGGUUGAGAAACCUGAAUUUGUGUUUGCUCUCGUGUACAAGAUCACUAGAGAUUUCGUUGAUUCCAUGGAUGAGAUAUUGCAACCACUUGUGGACAAGGCCAGGCUUGUAGGAUAUAGCUGCAGAGAGGAGUGGAUCUCGGGAAUGGUUACUGCACUAUCGCUAUAUUUGUCGAAGGAAGUAUUCCCCAAGUAUGUUGAUCUUCUUCAGGAAAGCACAUCACAUGCUCGAGUAACAUGGCUCAACCUUGUUGAUUUGAUGAUAUCUUUUGAUAAGCGAACCCGGGCCCUGAUAACUAAUGCGGGACUGCUAAUGUCUCUUAAAGAAGACGAGAAUUUGCCGAGGAUAUCAGCUCUCUCUGUUUUUUGUGAUCGCCCAGAUUGGCUUGAGGUAUGGGCGGAAAUUGAAAAGGGGGAGAUACUAGAUAAGGUAAAAUUGGCGAUGCAGAAUGAGAAAAGUUGGAUUACAAGGAUUCGAGGGGCUGUUCUCAUAUCCGGAUCAGAUGAUUACAACUCUCCUGCUAUUUCUGGUGCUGUUCUUCAAGGUGUAUCUUUGUUAAUCGACCGGGCUCGUCCUUUGCCCAGCAUCAUGCUUAGAGCUAGGUUCAUCAGGUUGGCUCCUGCAUCAAUCUUGAUGGAAUUUGCUGAUUGCAUGCUCCAUAGAUGCCAAGAAGCAGAGGGCCUUACCGCUCUGGCAGAUGAUGAUGCCCUAAUUAAGGUUUCGCAGUGCAUUAACGCAGCCAGGUACUGUGAAUCAAACUUAAUGCAAUGGUGUGAGGAUGUCUUUUUCCUCGAGAUGGAAGCUUUACCGCCAGAAUUUGGUGGGAAAUGUAUUUUCGACGAGGAGAUAAACAAAUUGAAGGAGUUUAGAGUGGAAUGGGUUGAUAAAAUUUCAACCGUCAUUUUAAGGGGAUUUGAUGCUCGAUCACGAGACUAUCUAAAAAACAAGAAGCAAUGGCAGGACAAGUCAGAAGAGUUGGCCGUUUCAAGGAUCAUUGUCGGUUCUUUAGAUUAUCUUCAAGGUAAGAUAUCCAAAUUGGAAGAGCACAUAAAUGCGUUGGACUUUAUCACAAUGUGGAGAACUGUAGCAGAUGGGGUCGAUCAACUUCUAUUCAAUGGAAUUCUCAUGAGUGGUGCAAAAUUCUACAAUGGCGGUGUGGAGAGAUUAGGCGGUGAUCUUAAUGUGUUAUUCGGGGUGUUCGCUGCGUGGUGUUUGAGACCUGAAGGGUUCUUUCCUAAGCUCUAUGAGAGUUUCAGGAUAUUAAGGAUGGAUGAGAGUGCGCUCAAGGAAGGAAUGUCGAAAGCGAAGGAGAGGUGGCUGAAGGAGAACGGCAUAAGGCGCUUAAACAUAGUAGAGGUCGAGAAAAUAAUGAAAAGUAGGGUCUUUCUGUGAUGAUUAUCUCAUUAAUUUAUCUGAAAAAGGUAGACGAUAAACUAACAGUAGGUGUCUGUUAAGGAAAGAAAAAGAAAGAACUGUUUUAUUGGAAGUUGUUGUAGUCAAAUAGGGCUUCCCAAAAAUAUGAUCUUUUUCUUAUUCUUUUCAAUUAUAUUCUGUUUUUGUUCUUAUUUCCUUGAGGAUGUAAUUAUUUGCAAUAACAGAUCGUCUUUUAUGAGAUUAAUUGUUUAAGCUUCUCAAUUUUUUGAAAUGCUGUUUUUUCAGUUUGUUCCUGGUAAUCUUUUGCAAACUCACUGUACAGGCACUUCUUAGGAGAUGUUGCUGCUCUUUUCUUGGCUAUGUAUGUUAUCUUGCAAUAGUUUCGCAUGCCCUCUGCUUCUUUCACUUCGUGUCAUUUUGAUUGUGUACUCUCUGAAUAUUGUUUGACUUGCUGAUAUAUCCGCGAACAUUAUACGCCACCUUAUCUUUGCUAGAUUUGUCGGCAUCUUAUUAUUCAGCUGUAUUUUCAUUAAACAAACAGUUUAAAUCACUCGGGGAAAAUUUAUUUUAUGCCAUGUUGUCUAAACCAAACUAUUACAUUAAUUUGAUCUGGAGUUACCAGAAUUUUGUGAAUCAAGAGACAACUUCGAAUCUGAGAAACUGCAAAAAGUACAUCUUAGAAAUAAGAGUCUUUCUAUAGUUCGUACACUCUCUUGUAAUGCAUAAAGUGCGAUCCAAGUAGUAGUUUUAGAAGAACUAACUGUACUAACAGAGUCUUUCGACAAUACCAUAAAUAGCAUCAAAUUAGAGUUUCUAUAUUUGAGCCUCAAGAGUCUUUUUUACUCUCCACUACUACAGAAGCAAUAAAUUUUUUUCUAUCGUGUUUGUUGACAAUAGAUAAGCUAAACGAAUAGGAUAGAACGAGAGACGGACUACUAAAAAUCCAGUAGGCUUCCUGUUGUGGCGUCGACCCACAUUCGCCGCGAGAUCGAUGGAUCACCAGGUGAAGGACCACAAAAUCUUGCAAUGGUCCAUACAGAAAGAUUUUUCUUUUAACAUUGUGUGCUCAGAUAUGCUUAAAAGUUCCCUUUCCCCUGCAACAAAAAGAUAUGGAGAAGGCAUAGGUCAAUCUCAUAAUGUUGGCUGCUUUGGUUUGCAGAUCAUAUCUCUGUUCAUACUUGCUUUGGAUCUAUUUGGAGAAACUUCUUGGUUCCUGCUGUGGACCUAUCCCUAUCCUUAUACACUUCAUAUCGGAAACAUCGGGUUGAUUCGGCUACGAAACAAAUAAAUGCGAACUCUUUGAAGCCCCUUUCGUAGGAAAUUUGGUGAAGGAAUACGACAAUACAAGUUAAUCUUCUUUAAGUAUCAUUAUCAGAGAUCUAUUAGAAUACUGUUUUUACAGACGGUUGAUAUGUUGGUAAAAUCAGCACCUUACGGAAAGAAUAUUUAUUUUCUUCGCAUUUUUGUACCGGUGUAUUAUAAAGGCAUAUGGGUCAUAGACAUUCAUUAAUUCAUUGCGGUCACCAACAAGUUUCAUGAUGAAGAGUUAAUAGUCACUAGUUAUGGAUAUGAAAUUAAUGCAACAGCGAAUCAUCAUCAAAGUAAACAGUACAUUAUGCAAGGAAGGAUAAAGGAAAAUUGAUUUACCAAUGGUAAGUUCACAAUGCAUGUUGCGUGCGUAUAUGACAUACCUAGCUUCGGUAACAAUAUAUAAUUAGUAUAUGUAUAUCGUGCUCGCUUAUUAAUUGUAUUUUAAAAUAUGUUCUUAGUAUCUAUAGCAUUAAUAAAUCAAUCAGUAGAUUUUUAAUUACCAGGCCUCGGGCCUGUAGUCUCCAUAACCCUAAUCAAGCGAAACAUCCUAAUCAAUUUCGCCGCUUUGCGAAGUGCGGUACUCCUUAUAAACUUUUUGACGGCUAUUGUAGUUGUGAUGUCGUGAUGACACAUAAUGUGUGGAUAAAGGAGAUUGUUAAUAUCAAUACGCACGCACAGAAAUGCAAUGAACGCGACUUCUCCUGUUACGACAAGUGAUAAGAUUCUUGAAUGAAAAUAAAAUUGAAAGUUCAAAGUCAAUCGUUUAUUGCUGCUUAAAUGAAAGGAGUACUGAAUGACGGCAUAAAUAAAGAAAAGGAUCUCGACUCGUAAUGCAAAUUAAAUAUGUGAUAAAUGGUUGAGAUUCAACCGUACAAUCAGUAAACAAAGUAUUUCGUUGACUGUUAAUAAUGUGGAUACCUUCUUCUUUCUUUUUCUUUUUCUUUUUUUUUUUUUCUAAAAGCAUACAUAACAAAACCUGUGAUUUUCGACGAAUUGCGCAAUCGCACUAUUCCACGGCAUUAUUAAAUAGAAUUGAGUUAACAUUUGUUUAUACGAGUUCAAUAUGGUUCUUCAUAUUUGAACUAAUCCAAAUACGAAAUAACUCGACAAACGUGCUUACACUGCUAAUAAGAGGAGUCGUGCGUGAUAAAAUUUAUUGAAUCUGAUCAAAUUUGAUCGAGGACUAAUAAUUUGAUUGGACGAAUCUAUAUAUUAGUGUCAAAAUCAACAUCAUUGAUAACAUCAUGACCCCCCCACGACAAUCUAAAACUACUCAUCACAAUCAUGGAAAUCAUUGAGUACUAUUAUUAGGACGACACUGUUGCAUGAUUGGGACUUUUCUAGUACCAAUGUUUAGUGACGCAAUAGUUAGGAGAUUAGACACUUAUAACUUAUUCCUAACUCGGAAGGUUCCAUCAAAUGCCAACAAUAAGUAGCUGGCUACUAAAUACUAUAUUAGAUAUGUCAACGGACCGGAUUUGAGACGAAUUAUCAAAAAUUUGAAUCCAAAUUUGAUAAUUAAAUUCAAAUUCGAAUUCGAUGGAUUUUGAAGAUUCGUAUUCAGAAUAAAGUUCGAUCAAAAAUUUUAAAAAAGUUCAAAUUCAAAGCAAAUUCAAAUACAACAACAAGUAUUAAUUAUAAAUUAUGUUGCAUAAAAUUAAUUCGGAUUUGAGUUCACUUCUGAUAAAAGUAAAAUCCAUACCUGAAUACAAAUGAGUCGGAUUUUCGCUUUUUUUAUAUUUCUAUCUGAAAUCAUAUCAGUUUGGCAUCAGAUAAAUCCAGUCUGCUCUAAUUUAGCAUUAAUAAUAUUUUAAAAAGCUGAUUCAUUAAUAAUAAUUUUUUAAAAAUGUAAAAAGUAUCAAAAAUGUUAUUUUUGCUCUAGUUACUUGAUCCCUAGUGGUUAGAUUUAACCCAACUAAUGAGCCACCAAGGCCAGCUACAGUCACAUCAUGGCAUUGAUUGAGAAGCACAAUUCCUUGGAUUUGUUGUAUACUAGGCCUCUAGCGCCGACCAAGCACAUCAACAUUUAUUUUGUUGAAAUUCUUUUUUUUCUCCGAAUAACUCAAGAUCAAUAAGUCCGAUCUUGAAUGAACUGAGCCCAAUGACAUUUUAAGGUUAUUCAGUUGUGAAUCAUUCAACACAAAAUAGCAUUAAUAAAGCAUAAUCAAACUUUAUUGCUUGAUACAUGGUUCAAAUGCUCAAUGUAAAAUUUGAAAUCGACCAAAGGCUCCUAAUAUUUUAUAUCAAUUCUAAAUUUCUUUAGGACUUGGUUUGUUCACUUAUUUUAGGCUCUAAAGUCAAAAUAAAAUUUGCUGAUCCUAAUAAUUAUUAUUUAUUUUACGCUGAAAUGAGAAUGAGUCAAUCCAUUUCUAGUUCAAUCCAAUUCGACUAUAAAUUCCGAAUUGGCCCAAUUGAGAGUAAACCAUUAAAACAACGAAUCAAAUAUUUUUUAAAUGAUUCGUCAUUUUAUUUUUCAUUCCGGUACAAUUUAACUUAAUUUUUUUCUUUCAAUUUCAAUCAUGAACCCUUAAUUCUAUAAUAUCAUGGGUUCAAAUCGCUACAGCUGGCGCACACAUUAAUUUUUUUCUUUCAAUUUCAAUCAUGAACCAAAUAUAUCCUUUAUUCUGUAAGAUCGUGGGUUCAAAUCGCUACAGCUGGCGCACACGGUCCACGGAACAAUCAUUUUCUGCAGAAGGCCUAACAACUUAAUGCACUAGACUAGAGUUUGCCCCCGACAUUGAGCUGACGAGGUGGGUCCCCCACUCUCUUCAACUGGUCCAAUCGGUAGUAACAACAAAAUUUGGGACCCCUCUACUUUAUGCUUUAUAAUAUAUAUAAAAUAGGAUUAAUUUUAUACAGAUUUCUAUAAAUAUAAUGAAUGAUAAAUAUAUAUUUACAAAGUUCAACUUUUAUAUAUUGUAUUUAUAAAAGUUCUGAUAUUUUCAAAUAUGUCCGGACCGUUAAAAUUCGUUAAAAGAUUUUAAUUAAACAUAGGAUAAAUACUUAUCCAAAUUAGUUUUUGAUAUUUUUAUCCCUCUUAUAUUAAUUAUACUGUUAUAGCUUCUCGAAGGACAUAUUUGUUAUAGCAAAAUUGAAAAAAUAAAUAGAUCUUUAAAGAUUAUCUAACAGUAACAAAUCAAAAGUAUAUAUUUAAAAAUAUCGGAACUUUUGUAAGGACAAUAUAUGAAAGUUGAACUUUAUAGGAAUAUAUUUUUUAUUUACUAUAUUUGUAGAGGUUCGUAUGAAAUAAACCUUAUAAAAUAUACAUACAUAUAAAGAUAUUUUUUAAUUUUUUUUUAAAAUGUGUUUAAAGAAUAAUAAUAACAUUAGUGGGAAAAAAAAAUCUCUUAAAUAAUAAAAAGUUGUAAGAUAUAAUUUGAUCGAAUUGUUGGGCUAGCAUUACUAGACUAUUGUACCGAGUCGUUUUACCGCAAACACGGGCACGUGUGGGUGCCCACGCGAUCGGGUCCGUGCCAUGCAGUCACGUCAAUUUGGGUAGUGCUCACACCCAACUCGACCCACUAGUUAAGGCCUUUUAAGUGAAUCAUAUCUAGUUCACUAAUGUGCGGAGCCAAAGAAAGAAAUAGAAUUAAUUAAGAGAGUAAUUUUUUGCAUAUAUCUUAUACUGAUUCCAUAUUACUCGAGGAUCCCCGCAAACACGAUGAAGUGAGACACCAAACAUAUAUAAUUCUCUAUAAUUGAAUGUCGGAAUAAAUUAUAUAUUUCUAUGAUUGAAAGUAAGAAGUUUGAGUAGUUUUAAUUUUCGAAGCAUCUCAUUAUGAAAAAAUAGCUCGCAGGUCGAACAUGAUCGAUGCUUGUUUUAUAUAUUUGUUCACAUUCCUUAUGUGUCGAAUAAUAUAUUCAUACAUCUAAAUAGGACCUAAAGUGCUGUUGAAACAUCCAGAGUAAUUGACCAAAUACAAUAAAAUAGUAGUAUGAAGAACUAAAACUUUUUACAGAUGAUAUAUAUAUAUAUAUAUAUAUAUAUAGGGUCCGGCUACUAUCCUAUUAAUAGGAUUGGGACUCUUGUCCUAUCAAGUCGAUUUGAAUGAUCGGAACUUCAAAUUGAUAAUCGGCACCGUUGAAGUUGAUCUACACAAUUAGAAAUGUUUAGAAACCAAAUUUUGUAAUAUUUAAAAAUCAUUAUCAAGUUCAUCUUAAGAGUUGAAAAAUGAACGGUCAUAAAUGAAUAACCUUCUUAAAAUAGAGGUUAGACUUUCUCAGUUCGUAAUCAGAGUUAUCAAACAUUAUCUAAAUAGUAUAAAGAAUUUUCUAUCAAAAAUUUAAGUAAUUUGGAUUGCUCUACACCGUUAAACAAGCAAACGGCUCAUAUAGGCCGUAAAAAAUUAUCGAUUUUACAACACUUUGAUCACCAUGUAAACCAUUAUUAAAAUUUAUGAAAUUUAGUUUCUAGAUAUUUCAAAUACUCUAAAUCAACUUCAACGGCUCCGAUCAUCGAUUCGGAAUCUCGAUCAUCAAGAGCAACUUGAUAGGACAAGUGCUCCUAUCCUAUUAAUAGGAUAGUAGCAUUAGCAUAUAUAUAUAUAUAUAUAGCUAAACUGGAAUGUUAUUGGUAGCACAGAGGCCUUCGUGCUACCAAGUUGUUUUAAAUGAUGCGGCUUCCAAAUUGACGAUCGGCUCUAUUAGAUUUGAUCUACACUAUGAAAGUAUUUGGAAACUAAAUUUCAUAAAUUUUCGGCAUCAUUUACCUAUCAAACGAGUAGUCUAAAAAUAAACGGCUAAAAAUAAAAAUCUCCUAAAAUAUGAUAAUAAAAGACUUGAAUUUAAAAUCAGAGGUACUGACCUUACUCUAAAUAGUGAAAAAAAAAAUUUCACCAGAUUUGAAUUGUUUUACACCGUUAAAUUCACAAACGCCUCACAUCUACCAUUAAAAUUAUCAAUUUUGAGAACUUUUGAUCACUAACCAAAUGAUGUCGAAAAAUUAUGAAAUUUAGUUUCGAAAUAUUUUUAAUAGUGUAGAUCAAUUCUAGCGAAGUUGGUCGUCAAUUUGGAAGCCGCAUCAUUAAAAAUAAUUUAGUAGCAUGGAGGUCUCCGUGCUACCGAAAGUAUAUUAGUCUAACUCUCUCUCUCUCUCUCUCUAUAUAUAUAUAUAUAUUCAUAGCAUCCAGAAGAGGAAUCCGCAAACUAUAUAUUUAUGACCUUAAAUUGUUUAAUUUAUUAAUCGGUGAUGAUGAAGAUAUAAACAAGACAAAUAUAUCGACCAAUAUUGAAAGCUUUGUGCAUGCACAGGGUCAUGCAUCCAUGCAUAUGCACGCAAUAAAUAAUGUCUCCCAUUCCAAACAUUACCCACUCCCACUUUCCACACACCCCUUCGAUCUCCUCCAUCCUCAUUUCCCAGUUUUAAACACUCCCCUCAUGGGACUCAUAUAAGCUUCUCAGCAAAGUUACGAGUUAUUACACAACACGCAUUAGGCGUGGGUGUGGAUGACCACGUCGCAAUAAUAAAAAUAGGAAGGUUGUAUCAGGGGCUUGUUUUAUCUAUGCAUAUCUAUGUAUCUAUCUUGGGUCAGGUGUAGUCAUGUCGCAAAAGAAACAUAGCGAGUUAAAGCGCAUGUGGGAAGUCCCGGAUUCAUAUAGAUGUGGUAAGCAGCCCAUGUACAGCAUGCCUCGAGUGUUCAUUACAGUCCCCACCCCCCUUUCACUCUCUAAACUAUUCGCUUCGCAUACCCCGUGCAUCUGUACGUCUCAUGCACCGCACCUCUAAAACUCUAGCGGAUAAAUAUGAAAAUCAGAAUCUAAUUCAGCGAAUGCGGCAUGCAUCAAACAUUAUAAGAUCCCAAACAUCCUUAAUUGUAUAUAUGAAUGUAUUAUAGAUAUAAUGGUACAUAGGAGGUGAGCGUCCUUAAAUUAGCUUAUGUGUGCAGUUCAAAUAUAUCUAUCACUUAUAGUUUGGCAAAUUACAUGUAUGAUAUCAGAAAAUCUCGAACAUCUAAUUUUGUAAAAUUGCUACUAGAAAGUUGUCGUUGUAUAUUGUCGACAUAACAAUAUAAAUGAGGUGAAGGCCCUUAACGAACGUAUGCAUGUAAUUCAAAGAUGCCACGUGUAUUUUGUCAAUACAUCAUUAACCUAUAUAUUAAGACGUCUAGUGGGCCCAAAUUCUAAAUCAAAUAAUAAUAUAUAUUUCUUAAUUCUUUAAAAUUUCAAGCUCAAUGAUUUUCCCACAUACGCCUUUUCUAAUAUUGUAAGCCAUAACUAUCAGAUUGGAUUUUAAUUUUAAGACGUACGUAUAUACGCAAAGGAUACGAGCAAUAAUUUCUCUCUCUCUCUCUCUCUCACUCAGCCUUUCCCCAUCUCUCCACAUCCAGUGCACUGUCAUGUCUCUCUUGGUCACAUGGGGAUGAUGCCCACCACAAGGGGCUACAACACCCCCCACCCCCUCUCUUCAUCUCCCCAGUUUUUAAAUAUACGGUGUUUGCGAUCUCUUUUCCUUUAUGACUCACCAGGGAGAAGAGAACCACGCCCAAGUGGGCGCCUACACGUAGAAUCCCUCACAUGUUAAGUCCCCCAUCAUCCGAUGGCCCCUCCUUCUCGUCUCUCCUUCUCUCUCCUCUCUCGUUCCCCUCUCUCUCUCUCUCUCCUCUCUACUUCAUAGGUCUAAUUUUGUUAGGAAAUAGGUGACAACCGCUUUAUUUAUUAAGCCACCCAACUAAACCAUCGCAUAUAUAUAUUAUAUAUAUCUAUAUAUAUAUGCAUCUGGUAUGCUUCACAAAAUACGGACGCUCCGUAACUUUCAAGUUGUUUUUAAUGUCACUUUCAAAAUCGACAAACUUGGAACACGGAGGCUUCGUCUUCCAGAAGCAUACCAGCCCACUAUAUCUAUUAAUUGAAGCUCUCUAUGGCUUUUAACAAGUAUCAAGUUUGUGGCUUGUAUAUUUUUAACCAUUGGAUUAAGAGAUGUGCGGAUAGAUAUGUGGGCCAAACUAGGGUUGAGUGGGUGGUUGGUUGAAUAGUAUAGAUCUAACGGUUGAAAAUGAUUUAGGAGUAGAUCGUAACGGUAAAAAUUUUACAACACCAAGUGCUGUGCUUGUACAGCACUAUGCUGGACUAUAUAUAUAUAUAUAUAUAUAUAUAUAUAUAUAUAUAUAUAUAUAUUUUUUGGAGUAGUGGGCGCGAAAAUAUCUGGAAUGUCACGUGACGCAUGUAGUAGUCGAUAAAAAAUUCUAAUUCUGAGGCACGAAUUUUAGAGCUACGUGUUGAGGAGUGCGAUGCGGUAACGGACGGUGCGCGCUCGCCGGGAGCGUGCAAUGAUGCGUUUUUCCCGCGAGGCCCGGAUCACAUGAGAGCCAUAAAUGGGCCAUGGUCCCAUCGGCCCAUGGGCACGCCCACCGCGCCCCGUCACGUGGACGUACGUCGUGGACCUCUUUGCCAGGAGGACACGUGGCACUGCCGGAUUGGCCACUUUCCAUUCCUUCACGGGAAAAAAAAAAGCAAAAAAGAAAAAUCAUCCGUAACAUCCGGAUGAAGUGAAAGCGGCCGAAUUGCGGGCUUGUUAUUCUAAUGAUGAUUAAUUACGGGCUCUAAUCUCUCUAUUAAAAAUCUUAAUUUCCGAACGUGGGCUCAAUAUAGUAAUAGUAAUAAUAUUACUAUUGUUUAUUAUUAAUUAUUAUUGUUAUUAUUUUGGAGUAUUAACAAAAAAUGUAGGCGUUGAGAUUGUGCUAAAAGGUCGUCGAAUUGACAAGAUAAUGCCCAGGACGAGUUGUAGCGCCCCCUCUUUAGACAUAAAGGGGACAAAGGCAUCUUUUGUGCCUAGAGUAAUAUUUUCUUUAAAAAUAAAUAAUAAUAAAUUUUUUUUACCGCAUGAGAUGUAAGAGAGAGAGAGAGAGAGAGAGAGAGAGAGAGAGAGAGAGAGAUGGUGUGAGGAGUCCCCUGAUUUCGCCACGUGCUGAGCAGUGAGAGGGGCUGUGGUAUGGUGAGCCCAUAGGCCCUCUCAGCUAUUGGGCCGGGUGGUGGGCCCAGCAUGGGAAAAGAAGGAGAAAGGUUGGGGGGGGGGACAUGUAGGGCCUAAGAGUUUGGUUUAUAUGUGUGUUUCUCUUCUCUCCUCAAGCCUCUCAAACUCUUUUCUCCUCCGGUCCCUUCCCAUUAACCUCUCCCUCCUCUUGUCUCGAGUGCUCCUCCCCUAUAAACUUCCCCUCCCUCGCUCUCCCUUUCUGUCUCUCUCACAUCGAUCUCCUUCGCUCCGCGACGAUGUCGAGCCGGAGGUCGACAAGGAUCACCGAAGAGGAGAUCAGCGAGCUCAUCUCCAAGCUCCAGUCGCUGCUUCCGGAGGGCCGCCGCAGAGGCAACAGCCGGGUAUUAACAAUCUCAAGUCUCUCGAAGUAAAGCACCAUACAAAUAUAAAUAUAUAUUUUAGUUAGAACAUUUUGCUUGUAACUUUACUUUUAUAUUAUGAUGAUGAUGAUGAUGAUGAUGAUGAUGAUAAUGAUGAUGAUAUAAAAUAAUAAGAUGCAGGCUUCGGCGACGAAGCUGCUGAAGGAGACGUGCAACUACAUCAAGAGCCUGCACCGCGAGGUCGACGACCUCAGCGACCGCCUCUCCGACCUGAUGGCCGGCAUGGACAACGACAGCGCCCAGGCCGAGAUCAUCCGGAGCCUCCUCCGGUCCUGAGCGCCGUGCCGUGCCGUGCUGUGCUGUGCUGCGCCGCCAAGUUAGCCCCUCCAACGUACCACUCCUAAUAGAUAAAUCUAUAUAUAUAUUUAUAAGCUUCUAGGGUAACUAGAUCUCAUUAAUGUACGUACUUAUAUAUUAGAUCCUAGCUAGGCUUUAUAAUGCCGUAGCAUUAGCUCUCCAUUCCCUACCUCUUCUUCUCCUUUUCCUCUUUUUUUUUUUUUUUUUUUUUUUUCAAUUUUAUGCACAUCUUCUUUGAGGUGUGGCUCGAGUUGCUUCUACUAUGGCAACCGACCAACCACUACUUAGGAAAAUUAUCAUGUAAUCCAGCUCUUACUCAGUUUCCAUUAUAUAUAUAUAAAUAUAUAUAUAAAUAUAAAACCUUAUUUUAUAUAUACAUAUAUAUAUAUGCUCAUUUUCAUGGCUCCUUCUUAGACUCCCUAGUUCAAUCCGUACACAUGUGAAAGGGGAGGUACUUAAUAAAAUAUAUAACUACCACAUAAGUUUUUUUUUUUUUUUUUCCUGAAAAAUUCCUUUUACUCCUUAGUUCCUGUUUAAGACCCAACACCGGCUCUGUUUUUAUUGUGUUCCGAUGAUUCUAACACCCCGGCGGGCAAAAAACCCACCAAUAGGGUUUGCACACGUGGACGGUACGGAAUAGUGGGUGGAGCGCGUACUGGGAUUAGGCUGUACCUGUGGAGCAACGGAGGGGCGAGGAUGUCGACCGAGGGAACUGAUCUAACGGUUGGUGGCCUCCGAGGACGCCAAAAUUGAAGGACGCGGGUCCCGAGAGUCAGGGCCUGCUGGGCUCAGAGCCCCAGUGCGGGGCCCACCACUGAUUGGGGCUCGGUCCCCACCGUCCAAUGAAUAGUAUCCUACGGUUGUAGCUAGUUAGUUGAACACGACAGUUAAAAAAGGCAAAAAAAAAAAAAAAUCAUUAAACAAAAAAUAUUAGAAAAUCCUCGACACCGUAAUAUACAAAUAUAUUGAGAUGAUAAUGGCAUAAUAUGCCCCUACAAAAGGCUGUGCUGUACAUGUAACGGGAGGGGUAAAAGAGUAAAUAGAACAGAGAAAGGGCCAAAAAGAGGAAAAAUAAAAAAAUAGGGGGUUAAAUGGCGAAUAAGAUAAGGUGCGUGAGUUUUUUUUUUUUUUCUUUCUUUUAUGCGCAGCCGUAAAUGUAUUUCGUUCGCAGCCCUGCACGGAAAUUUGCAGAGAUACGUCGUGUUAGGUCUGACCAUUUAAUUAAGGGCAUUUCUGUAAAUUCACCUGCUGAUACGAGCGAUUCUUCCGGUUCAAUAUGUAAGCAAGUCUAGAAGGAUACCAUCCGGAGCCCGCGACCGGGACAAAAAUUUAUACAGUGAAUGCAAUUACUUUGCUUACUAUAUAGUAAUGUUCUGAAUACCCAAAAUGGGAACCGGUUUUUCCACACACCACAAAAAUAUAUAUAUAUAUAUAUAUAUGUGUGUGUGUGUGUGUGUGUGUGUGUGUGUGUGUGUGUGUUAUAAUUACAAAGCGAUCCUUCCGCCCAUUUGCCGACAUGGAUAGUUCGAAUUUAUACCAUCAGAUAAAUAAAUAGCGAAGCGUUCCCUCCGUCCAUCUGUGGACGUGGACAGUUCGAAUUUAUCUUGUCGGACAAGCGACAAUGUUAUUUUGUAUGCAAAAUUCUUUUAUGCAUAGUAUUUUUCACGUCCCUAGUGUUUUCUGUCACGGGAACUAUAGAAGAAUAGUGGCUUUCAACUAAACAUUAUGUAUUUUGCCUUGAAAAUGUAUAAAUGAGUUCUAUAAGAUUAAAUUUCACAAACCUUUGGUUAUGUGACAUUCGAGAUAAGUGAUUAUUCAAAAGAUAUAUAUAGCUAGCUAAUUUUAUCAAUACCAUAUAGCUAGUCAUCGAUUGUGCCGUGUGCAGUUGUAUACAGAAUUGUAUUGUUGGUGCUUAAUAUUUUAAAUUUUAAUUCUAAUUACUUUAUACUUCUUACAUAUAGCUCGCUAUCUUUCUCUCGAGAAAACGAAUACCAUACAGUCUAGUUGCAUGAUCUGACCAUCCAUUCAAAUAUAGCACUCAUCUCCGCAAAUUGAAGUGAUCAAGCAAAAUCCGUAGGAUUGUUCAACGCUAGGUUGCUACACGCACAAGAUGUCGAGGAUUUGCUCGCGAUAAAUACCCUUCCUAGCAAAUCAACCUAACCUCUUUUUCUGCAUUUUUUUUUAAUAUAAAAAUUAGUAAUCUAUUGCACGGUUUUGACAAGGUCACCUGGUGUUCAUCCAUUUUGUUACUCCACUGAAAAUUCCACUGUAGAAAUUUUUGGUCCCAGCGAUGCAGCAGAAGAGCAAAUAAAAUUUUAAACUCAGAUCAUACUCAAAAGUAAUCAACUCAAAUUUCGAAAUCAAGGCCUAAAGAGGCCGAAUCAAAAACGAAAUUAGGGAAACAAAGAAAUGGCGAUAGAGAGAGUGAGAUAUCGAGACGAAGCUAAUAAUCCACUCUACCUUCAUCGCAAGGGCGAUUCGACAGUGGCGUUGCUGCUGAGCGGCGAGGAUCGGAUCAUGGGCCGUGAGCAGAGGAUCGAAUUCACGCUGGGGUUGAGUCGGAGGAGAACGAAUCGAUCCCGAUCCGUCUCCCUCGCGCUCAACCCCUCCCCCUUCGCCUCCCCGAUCCGCAUCUCCUCCUCCCUGAUCCGCCGCACCUGGUUGUGCACCGGCGCUCCGCCCCGCGCCUCUCCUCCUCCUCCUCCUCCUCCGCCGCCGCAAUUCGCCUGCUGGGAUCCCUGCGGCUUCGUCUCCUCGAUCGGGAUCGUCGCCAUGAUCGGGGGGGCGUAAGGUCUAGGGCUAGGGUUUCGAGAAGUAUCGCCGAUUCGUGAGCGCCCGCGUGUUACGAUUUUAAUUAGUAGCCUAGCCUAGUGUGGAAAGACG
rnacentral:lncRNA from 1 species